rnacentral:lncRNA from 1 species
UCCGUAGAUGAGAGGAACUGCAUGGAGAUAGAGCAAGGUAGGAGAAUUUCUCCGGCAGCAGUGGUUGUUGCAUUCAAUGGGGUCCAUGGUGGCCAUGUGUUGCAUUCGUCACGCGCUCGCCCAUGGCCACCACACUGUCGUGCGCUCACUCGUGCCUCGUAGACACCACUGUUGUCCAAGGACAUCGCCACACGCUUGCCCGAAGACACAAAGGAGCGAAGAAAAAAAGAAAAGG